UGCGGAGGAUGCGAGCGUUAUCCGGAUUUAUUGGGUUUAAAGGGUGCGUAGGCGGGCUUUUAAGUCAGCGGUAAAAAUUCGGGGCUCAACCCCGUCCGGCCGUUGAAACUGGGGGCCUUGAGUGGGCGAGAAGAAGGCGGAAUGCGUGGUGUAGCGGUGAAAUGCAUAGAUAUCACGCGGAACCCCGAUUGCGAAGGCAGCCUUCCGGCGCCCUACUGACGCUGAGGCACGAAAGUGCGGGGAUCGAGCAGG
rnacentral:rRNA from 1 species